UAUGUGAUCGUCUCUCGCAUAUCAAUAAGCGGAGGAAAAGAAACUAACAAGGAUUCCCCUAGUAACGGCGAGUGAAGCGGGAAGAGCUCAAAUUUGAAAUCUUAAAGGGUUUCCCUUUACGAAUUGUAGUUUAAAGAAGUGUUUUCUGUUGAGGUUUUGGUAAAAGUUCUUUGGAAUAGGACAUCAUAGAGGGUGAGAAUCCCGUAUUUGACCUUUACUUUCAACUUUGUGAUACACUUUCAAAGAGUCGGAUUGUUUGGGAAUGCAGUCCAAAAUGGGUGGUAAAUUUCAUCUAAAGCUAAAUAUUGGCGAGAGACCGAUAGCGAACAAGUACCGUGAGGGAAAGAUGAAAAGAACUUUGAAAAGAGAGUUAAACAGUACGUGAAAUUGUCAAAAGGGAAGCGUUUGACACCAGUGUUGUUUUUCAUGAAAAUCAAUUAAAGAACUGUUUAUGCUAAGCUGUUUAGACUUUAUCAGCUAAUCUGUUUAGUUUUGAGCUUUUCUUUAAUGCACUUUUCAGUUAACAAGUCAACAUCAAUUUCUUUUGCUGUAAAAAAGCUUGAGGAAGGUGGCUUGAGAUUCGUCUUAAGUGUUUAUAGCCUCUUGCCUAUGCAGUCGGAGAGAUUGAGGUCUGCAGCGUAGAUCCUUCGGGGCUAAAUGCAUUUGUGCUAAGUUAUAGCAUUUUAUAGACAACUUGUUGACUAUGAUUUGUCUUGUAGCUUACUCGCUUAUGUUAUUUUACCUACGCUUAGGAUGUUGAUAUGCAUGACUGAUAU
rnacentral:rRNA from 1 species